rnacentral:lncRNA from 1 species
AAACUAUUUUGGUAUUUCCAGUGCCUUAGAUCCUUGCCUUGGAUUGUGGAGGAAGCAAAGGAAAAGGACAUAAAAUGCAUCACAAGAGGCAGAGGGAAGGAAUAGGAGAUAAAUUUACCCUGUCUUUUCCCUUUUCUGCAGCCUCCCUUCAAAGCCUAGUCUUUCUCAACUGUGCAUCUGCACCACUCUGGUAUUUUCAUGUGUCUCUGAUUCCAGAAAGACUUCUUUCACUGGUCUCCAGGAGAAUGGCUUCCUAGUGAUCUGAGAAGAAAUGGAAUCUGCUGUCUAGAGUAGAAGAGGCUACCAGUGAGCCAGUUUGCUGAAGCAAGUUACGGCUGCAACAAUGAGUCCCCAGGCAUACCCAUCCCCAAGUGAGGACUCCACAGAGGGACAGAAGUCAGCCCUUCCCAGCAAUGGCUCUGACUCUGAAACUUCCCGCCAACACUUCAGGCACUAAUGCUCCCAGGCGGUAGCUGGCCCCCAUGAAGGAUUUAGCAAGCUCUAGGAACUCUGCUGUCAGUGGCUAAGGCCUAAGACACACUCAAAAGAGCAAAUACUGGAGCUGCUGGUUUUGGAGCAGUUUCUCACCAUCUUGCCCCUGGAGAUCCAGACCUGGGUGAGGGAGCAACAUCCAGAAAAUAGUGAGGAAGCUGUGGCUGUAGUUGAGGAUGUACAGAGUAGGUCUGGGCAACAGGUGAGAACAGGCAACUCAGAACCUGGUGAGUUUAGUUACGAAGUGGGGUGAGGAGCACAGCAAUCCCGUUGCCGGAGACGUGUUGAGAAAUGCACACUAGCCCCCGCCACCCACCGCAAACUCUUAGCUAUCUUGGGUUGGUCCCAUGCCCUUCGUCUAUGGAGAGGAUUUCUCAUUUGCUGAAAUAGUGUACACACUGAUACAGUCAGUGGAUGUUUAGGGUCCCUAAUACAAAAGUUAAAGCUCACAACAGUUCUCCAAAAGGCCAGGGAAAGGACACUGUCCCUCACUCAGGAGAUCAGGAAAAUUAGAGUUGGUGAAUUAACAUCCAGUCUCUCUUGCCGAAAGGUUCCUUGAGUGCAGAUGCUAUGGUUAUGCAGUAAACAAAGUUGUAUCAGAGCUGCUGCUGCUGGGAUUAAGGGGUCAGUGUGGGAUAGCGAUGAGUUUCACACAGUGUGCGCUUGUCCAGGUAGGACUAGGUGUGAGAUCUGGUCAGUGUCACGAUCUUGUACAUUUUGGGAGAAGGGAGCCGUGAAAGGCACAGCACAACAGGAACGUGGCUUUAGUUGUGGGAGACUUGUGGGAAGAAGGCAACUGAGAUCACAACCAGAGGUCCAGGAGAGGGACAGACUGAAGGAGGCGUGUGGGUCAGAGGAAGGCCGUAGCCUGAGCACCUCUGUGCUCAACAGGAAGCAGCUGGCUGGGUGCGGAGACGGCAUGGCUGGAACUGGAGGUACCGGUGUCCCCGGUGUGGAGGCAGACGUGUCCUUGGGCUGUGGGAGUGGGAUCGGCGAGGGGCGUAGCAUUUCACAGGACCGAGGAUUGAGUGGUGUUGACAUAAUGUGCAGAGGGCAGAGAGCUUGGUGGAGAUGCAUCAGGGACGAAGCUGAGGAAGUUCACGAAGGAUCCAUGGCGUCGGGACAGUAACACCUGGGAUGGCACGGAGAAGGGUGAGCAGUAGCACGUGUGUGGAGGCAGAGCUGGGACAGGUGAAUGGCAGGAACCCCUACAGGUGAGAAGUCAUCCUGCUCCAGUUCCCCUUGCCCUCUCCCUGUGGGGACAGUCUCUGUCUCUUGCGGCCCCUGGUGUUUCAGAGCCAAGCUCUUCACGGGAAUGCAGACGGGACAGGAACGUGAGGGAUAACGCAGCCAUGUGAAGCCUGUCUGGGGUGCGAAGGGCACCGCGAGCAGAGGGGAGGGAGAGCGGAAGCUGACGGCACUUGCCAGGACGCAGAGGCCUCUCCACGCCACACUCCUCACUCACUCGACGGACAGGACACAUCAUACACGGAGGACUUAAUCGAUGAAGGUGGCUCUGAAAGACACAAGUGGCUUUGAGGUGCCUGCCAGACGGCAGACACUGGGAUUGUGCAGUGAACGGGACAGGCGCGGUCCGUGGCCUGCUGCAGGCUACGCUCCAGGAGGGACACAGACCACAAGCAAAGGAAGAGCGAGCCAGGAACGAGCCGGCUGAUGUGAUGGAGAAUGACUGUGGGGCAGACGGAGAGUGGGCACCGCCUCUCCGGGCCGUGAC